rnacentral:rRNA from 1 species
UACGUAGGGUGCGAGCGUUGUCCGGAAUUAUUGGGCGUAAAGAGCUUGUAGGCGGUCUGUCGCGUCUGCUGUGAAAAUCCGGGGCUCAACCCCGGACUUGCAGUGGGUACGGGCAGACUAGAGUGUGGUAGGGGAGACUGGAAUUCCUGGUGUAGCGGUGAAAUGCGCAGAUAUCAGGAGGAACACCGAUGGCGAAGGCAGGUCUCUGGGCCACUACUGACGCUGAGAAGCGAAAGCAUGGGGAGCGAACAGGAUUAGAACCGUACCG